rnacentral:misc_RNA from 1 species
GAUGAAGAACGUAGCGAAAUGCGAUAAGUAGUGUGAAUUGCAGAAUUCAGUGAAUCAUCGAAUCUUUGAACGCACAUUGCGCCCCUUGGUAUUCCAUGGGGCAUGCCUGUUCGAGCGUCAUUUGUACCUUCAAGCUCUGCUUGGUGUUGGGUGUUUGUCUCGCCUCUGCGUGUAGACUCGCCUCAAAACAAUUGGCAGCCGGCGUAUUGAUUUCGGAGCGCAGUACAUCUCGCGCUUUGCACUCAUAACGACGACGUCCAAAAGUACAUUUUUACACUCUUGACCUCGGAUCAGGUAGGGAUGCCCGCUGAACUUAAGCAUAUCAAUAAGCGGAGGA